rnacentral:misc_RNA from 1 species
GAUGAAGAACGCAGUAAAAUGCGAUACUUGGUGUGAAUUGCAGAAUCCCGUGAACCAUCGAGUUUUUGAACGCAAGUUGCGCCCGAAGCCUUUUGGCCGAGGGCACGUCUGCCUGGGCGUCACGCAUCGCGUCGCUCCCCACAAAUUCUCCGUCAGGGGAGCUUGUGUUUCGGGGGCGGAUACUGGUCUCCCGUGCUCAUGGCGCGGUUGGCCGAAAUAGGAGUCCCUUCGAUGGACGCACGAACUAGUGGUGGUCGUAAAAACCCUUGUCUUUUGUUUCGUGCCGUUAGUCGCGAGGGAAGCUCUUCAAAAACCCCAGCGCGUCGUCUCUUGACGGCGCUUCGACCGCGACCCCAGGUCAGGCGGGACUACCCGCUGAGUUUAAGCAUAUCAAUAAGCGGAGGA